GGCGAUUAGCUCAGUUGGGAGAGCACCUCCCUUACAAGGAGGGGGUCACUGGUCUAAGAUAAUCAGUAAUCACCCCA
rnacentral:tRNA from 1 species